rnacentral:rRNA from 1 species
GGGGAAUAUUGCGCAAUGGGGGAAACCCUGACGCAGCAACGCCGCGUGAAGGAAGAAGGCCUUCGGGUCGUAAACUUUUGUCUUCUGGGAAGAAAAAAAUGACGGUACCAGAGGAGGAAGCCACGGCUAACUACGUGCCAGCAGCCGCGGUAAUACGUAGGUGGCAAGCGUUGUCCGGAAUUACUGGGUGUAAAGGGCGUGUAGGCGGGAGAGCAAGUCAGAUGUGAAAUACCGGGGCUCAACUCCGGGGCUGCAUUUGAAACUGUUCUUCUUGAGUGCAGGAGAGGUGAGUGGAAUUCCUAGUGUAGCGGUGAAAUGCGUAGAUAUUAGGAGGAACACCAGUGGCGAAGGCGACUUACUGGACUGUAACUGACGCUGAGGCGCGAAAGCGUGGGGAGCAAACA